UAACUCUGGUGUCUCCUCAUUAACGGAUAAAUCUUUCGCCUUUUACUAAAGAUUUCCGUGGGGAGGCACAAUACAAUGAAUCUUUCCUCAUUUUUUUCAGCUCUGUCUACGGACAGAGU
rnacentral:snRNA from 1 species